rnacentral:rRNA from 1 species
CCACCAACGCAGGCUUCCAGUUCUCUGGAGGUUGACGGUAGGUGGGGAAUAAGGACCCGGCUAACUACGUGCCAGCAGCCGCGGUAAUACGUAGGGUCCGAGCGUUGUCCGGAAUUAUUGGGCGUAAAGAGCUCGUAGGCGGCGUGUCGCGUCUGCUGUGAAAGACCGGGGCUUAACUCCGGUUCUGCAGUGGAUACGGGCAUGCUAGAGGUAGGUAGGGGAGACUGGAAUUCCUGGUGUAGCGGUGAAAUGCGCAGAUAUCAGGAGGAACACCGGUGGCGAAGGCGGGUCUCUGGGCCUUACCUGACGCUGAGGAGCGAAAGCAUGGGGAGCGAACAGGAUUAGAUACCCUGGUAGUCCAUGCCGUAAACGUUGGGCGCUAGGUGUGGGGACUUUCCACGGUUUCCGCGCCGUAGCUAACGCAUUAAGCGCCCCGCCUGGGGAGUACGGCCGCAAGGCUAAAACUCAAAGGAAUUGACGGGGGCCCGCACAAGCGGCGGAGCAUGUUGCUUAAUUCGACGCAACGCGAAGAACCUUACCAAGGUUUGACAUCACCCGUGGACUCGCAGAGAUGUGAGGUCAUUUAGUUGGCGGGUGACAGGUGGUGCAUGGCUGUCGUCAGCUCGUGUCGUGAGAUGUUGGGUUAAGUCCCGCAACGAGCGCAACCCUUGUUCCAUGUUGCCAGCACGUAAUGGUGGGGACUCAUGGGAGACUGCCGGGGUCAACUCGGAGGAAGGUGGGGAUGACGUCAAGUCAUCAUGCCCCUUAUGUCUUGGGCUGCAAACAUGCUACAAUGGCCGGUACAAUGGGCGUGCGAUACCGUAAGGUGGAGCGAAUCCCUAAAAGCCGGUCUCAGUUCGGAUUGGGGUCUGCAACUCGACCCCAUGAAGGUGGAGUCGCUAGUAAUCGCGGAUCAGCAACGCCGCGGUGAAUACGUUCCCGGGCCUUGUACACACCGCCCGUCACGUCAUGAAAGUCGGCAACACCCGAAACUUGCGGCCUAACCCCUUGUGGGAGGGAGUGAGUGAAGGUGGGGCUGGCGAUUGG